GAUGAACGCUAGCUACAGGCUUAACACAUGCAAGUCGAGGGACCGGCGCACGGGUGAGUAACACGUAUCCAACCUGCCCUUUACUCGGUGAUAGCCUUUCGCAAGAAAGAUUAAUACCCGAUAUAAAGGAUGGGGAUGCGUUCCAUUAGUUUGUUGGUGAGGUAACGGCUCACCAAGCCUUCGAUGGAUAGGCGUUCUGAGAGGAAGGUCCCCGACAUGUGAACUGAGGCACAGACCAAACUCCUACGGGGGGCAGCAGUGAGGAAUAUUGUUCAAUGGACGCUAGCCUGAACCAGCCAAGUGGCGUGAAGGAUGAAGGGUUAUGGGUCGUAAACUUCUGUUAUAUAAGAAUAGGUAUUAUAUGAAUAAGGAUCGGCUAACUCCGUGCCAGCAGCCGCGGUAAUUC
rnacentral:rRNA from 1 species